AUGAACGCUGGCGGCGUGCCUAAUACAUGCAAGUCGAGCGAACGGACGAGAAGCUUGCUUUUCUGAUGUUAGCGGCGGACGGGUGAGUAACACGUGGAUAACCUACCUAUAAGACUGGGAUAACUUCGGGAAACCGGAGCUAAUACCGGAUAAUAUUUUGAACCGCAUGGUUCAAAAGUGAAAGACGGUCUUGCUGUCACUUAUAGAUGGAUCCGCGCUGCAUUAGCUAGUUGGUAAGGUAACGGCUUACCAAGGCAACGAUGCAUAGCCGACCUGAGAUGGUGAUCGGCCACACUGGAACUGAGACACGGUCCAGACUCCUACGGGAGGCAGCAGUAGGGAAUCUUCCGCAAUGGGCGAAAGCCUGACGGAGCAACGCCGCGUGAGUGAUGAAGGUCUUCGGAUCGUAAAACUCUGUUAUUAGGGAAGAACAUAUGUGUAAGUAACUGUGCACAUCUUGACGGUACCUAAUCAGAAAGCCACGGCUAACUACGUG
rnacentral:rRNA from 1 species